GUGUGCUCUGCGGCUCCGGGAGAUGCUCCGAGCUGAGCUCAGACCGCUCCGGUUUCCAAGGGAAUUUGUGCUGUUGUUGUUUUAUCCAUGCCUUUGGGGAUCACAGAUGUACCAGGGUGGGAAGAGCCCUCCAGGAUCAUCCAGUGCUAUCACCCCAAACCCUGUCCCCAAGGGCCACAUCCAGACUCCUCCUGAGCACUCCCACAGACAGUGACUCCAAACCUCCCUGGGCAGCUCAGCCCAAGGCCUGACCACUCUGCCAGGGAAAUUUUCUUUCCCAGUCUCCAACCUGAGCAUCCUCUGGUGCCAUUUGAGGCCAUUUCCUCUCCUCCUUUCCCUGCCCCUCCUGUCAGGGAAUUGUGCAGAGCAAUGAGGUCUCCCCUGAGCCUCCUUUUCUCCAGGCUGAGCCCCUUUCCAGCUCCCUCACAUUUCCUCAUCACAUCCAUGUUCUAGCCCUUUCCCAGCUGUGUUCCCUUCCCUGGACACGCUCCAGCCCCUCAAUGUCCUUUUUGAAAUGAAGAGCCCAAAACUGUGCACAAGACUUGAGUGUGGCCUCACCAGAGCACAGCAGGAAUGGGCACUCGGAUAGGCAAUUUUGGGCCAUGAGUACCUGUUAUUGUGUUUGCUUUCCCAAAUAACCUCGCUGGAGCCUGGAAGUGUUGCUGAAGCCUGUUAUGAAAAUUUGACAUGGUGGAAAUCAAACAGAUCAGCCUCAACUCCAGAGGUGGAAACUGCUCUUCAGGCUGCUGGGACAUCCUUGGGUCACACCCUGGGCUGAGCUGGGCACUGCCAGUACCUGUUUCAAAGCCCAUUGGGAUAAAAAUGAAAAAAAUGUGUAGAUAGUUGCAUUUUAUAUCCCUCAUGUAAUUAAAAUGGCAUUAUCUGGGGCCAUGAGGCAGCAGAGAAUCAGAAUAAUUUACCUGAAGAACAGUUUUGUUUUACU